rnacentral:rRNA from 1 species
UACGAAGGGGGCUAGCGUUGUUCGGAAUUAUUGGGCGUAAAGCGCGUGUAGGCGGCUCCUUAAGUCUGAUGUGAAAGCCCCGGGCUCAACCUGGGAAGUGCAUUGGAAACUGGGGAACUUGAAUACGGGAGAGGGUAGUGGAAUUCCUGGUGUAGGAGUGAAAUCCGUAGAUAUCAGGAGGAACACCGGUGGCGAAGGCGGCUGCCUGGACCGAUAUUGACGCUGAGACGCGAAAGCGUGGGGAGCAAACAGG